rnacentral:rRNA from 1 species
CCUACGGGAGGCAGCAGUGAGGAAUAUUGGUCAAUGGGCUUACGCCUGAACCAGCCAAGUCGCGUGAGGGAAGACUGCCCUAUGGGUUGUAAACCUCUUUUGUCAGGGAGCAAUUGGCGCUACGUGUAGCGUUAUCGAGAGUACCUGAAGAAAAAGCAUCGGCUAACUCCGUGCCAGCAGCCGCGGUAAUACGGAGGAUGCGAGCGUUAUCCGGAUUUAUUGGGUUUAAAGGGUGCGUAGGCGGAAUGCCAAGUCAGCGGUAAAAUCGCGGGGCUCAACCUCGCUCCGCCGUUGAAACUGGCGGUCUUGAGUGGGCGAGAAGUAGGCGGAAUGCGUGGUGUAGCGGUGAAAUGCAUAGAUAUCACGCAGAACUCCGAUUGCGAAGGCAGCAUACCGGCGCCCAACUGACGCUGAAGCACGAAAGCGUGGGUAUCGAACAGGAUUAGAUACCCGUGUAGUC